UACGGGUAGGCGAGCGUUGUCCGGAAUCAUUGGGCGUAAAGAGCGUGUAGGCGGCCUUUUAAGUCCUGCGUGAAAUCCUGCGGCUCAACCGCAGACGGUCGUGGGAAACUGGAAGGCUAGAGUGCGGGAGAGGAGAGUGGAAUUCCCGGUGUAGCGGUGAAAUGCGCAGAUAUCGGGAAGAACACCCGUGGCGAAGGCGGCUCUCUGGAACGCAACUGACGCUGAGACGCGAAAGCGUGGGGAGCAAACAGG
rnacentral:rRNA from 1 species